rfam:Cavia porcellus supercont2_39 genomic scaffold, whole genome shotgun sequence.
GGGGAUUUAGCUCAGCGGCAUUAGCACCUGCCUUGCAAGCAGGUGGUCGUGAGUUCAAUCCCUG